UACGGAGGGUGCAAGCGUUAUCCGGAUUCAUUGGGUUUAAAGGGUGCGCAGGCGGGACCUUAAGUCAGUGGUGAAAUCCCUUCGCUUAACGAAGGAACUGCCAUUGAUACUGAGGUUCUUGAAUCUAGUUGACGUUAGUGGAAUGUGUCAUGUAGCGGUGAAAUGCUUAGAUAUGACACAGAACACCGAUCGCGAAGGCAGCUAACGAAGCUAGUAUUGACGCUCAGGCACGACAGCAUGGGGAGCAAACAGG
rnacentral:rRNA from 1 species